GACGAACGAUGGCGGAGGGAGGAAAAAAGGACAGUCGAGAUGAAAGGCCCUUCGGGGGACGAGACCGGCGAACGGGUGAGUAACACUGUAGUCACCUGCCCCAGCACUUGGGAUAACCCUCGGAAAUGUGGUCUAAUACCGGAUACGACACACCUUCGCAUGUGUGCUGUAUGGAAAGUUUUUCGGUUUGGGAUGGGCUCGCGGCCUAUCAGCUUGUUGGUGGGGUGAUGGCCUACCAAGGCGACGAGGGGGCGCCGGGCUGAUAGGGCGACCGGCCACACUGGGACGUGGACACGGCCCAGACUCCUACGUGAGGCAGCAGUGGGGAAUAUUGCACAAUGGGCGGAACGCUGAUGCAGCGACGCCGGUGGACGGGUCCCUCCCUUGUUCGUGUAAACCUCUUGCAGACGGGACGUACCGUAAGUGACGGUACCUGCAGAAGAAGCGCCGGCCCCCUACGUC
rnacentral:rRNA from 1 species